CCUACGUGAGGCAGCAGUGAGGAAUAUUGGUCAAUGGGCGAGAGCCUGAACCAGCCAAGUCGCGUGAGGGAGUACUGCCCUAUGGGUUGUAAACCUCUUUUGUCGGGGAGCAAAAGCCGGACGUGUCCGGCUGUGAGAGUAACCGAAGAAAAAGCAUCGGCUAACUCCGUGCCAGCAGCCGCGGUAAUAAGGAGGAUGCGAGCGUUAUCCGGAUUUAUGGGGUUAAAAGGGUGCGCAGGCGGAUUUUUAAGGUAGCGGUAAAAUCGUGGGGGCCAACCCCCUCCAGCCGUUGAAACUGGGGAUCUAGAGUGUGCGAGAGGUAUGCGGAAUGCGUGGUGUAGCGGUGAAAUGCAUAGAUAUCACGCAGAACCCCGAUUGCGAAGGCAGCAUACCGGUGCACAACUGACGCUCAGGCACGAAAGCGUGGGUAUCGAACAGGAUUAGAUACCCGUGUAGUC
rnacentral:rRNA from 1 species